rnacentral:rRNA from 1 species
CACGUAGGGCGCAAGCGUUGUCCGGAAUUAUUGGGCGUAAAGAGCUCGUAGGUGGUUUGUUACGUCUGCUGUGAAAACCUAGGGCUUAACCCUGGGCUUGCAGUGGAUACGGGCAGACUAGAGGUAGGUAGGGGGGAAUGGAAUUCCUGGUGUAGCGGUGAAAUGCGCAGAUAUCAGGAGGAACACCGGUGGCGAAGGCGGUUCUCUGGGCCUUACCUGACACUGAGGAGCGAAAGCGUGGGGAGCGAACAGG